rnacentral:lncRNA from 1 species
CUCCUGUUCCUUAGCUAUGCUUGGAAUUUUUUUGUAGGACAUUAUUCUGUUCUCUUGGGAAGUUGGGAAGGGUUUUUAUGCUUGGCAUGGUGCUCAUAAACACUUCCUAGAAAUGCUGCUUUUCAACAGUUUUUAUCUGAAAGAAGAGAUGUUAAGAACCUAGUUUACAUAAUUCAAAUUUGGUGCUCUCAGGAUUGUUUCAGGUGUAAAAAUCCCCGAUUUCUCAGUGUGCCAUUGCUCUCUGGUGCUCUGAAUGCAUUUUGUAAUCAGUAAAUGUAUUAGUAACUGCAGAUGUUAAUCAAUCACUUUGAUAUCUAAAAGUAAGGCAAGUGGAAUGUGAAUAAUUUGUGUUGUGGUCAAGACUACUACAGUUUGGUGUCUCUGUUUGCAUUCAUCAGGGCUGUUGGACGUGAAUCAGAGGCUAGCAAUUACAAACCAGAACUAAUAACUAAAAAUCCCUGCUCUCUUUUUGAUGCAGUUGAGCUCAUUCCAGACCUCUUGGCCUUCUAGACCCAUGCCAUUGCAGUGAGGUGAGAACAGCUCGACAUGAGCCUUCUCAAAACCGUGCUGGAGCAGUAUCCCUCAACCUUGCUGUUCACAGGUGAUGAUCCGGAGCAAGCUGGGUGUUGCAGCACCAGAGCCCUGUGUCCUGAUCACUGUAAACCUGAGAUUCUGCCUUGGGAACCAGUUCUGUAAUGGCUAUGCUGCAUCAAAUGGUCACACUCAUCAGGAGAGUCACAGCCACUGCUGCAAACAUCAAUGUGAAGGAUGCCUGGUGGGAUUGAACAGCAGGUACCAAGGCUCUGAAACUCCAGCUAUCCUUUCUGGAGGCUAUUUUCCCAAUAUCUCUCCUGUGAGUUGAAGAUACACAUACCUCUUCUUUCUCCAGGUACACUGCUGGCAAAUAUUUCAAACAGGGCAUAGACUUCAAGUCGUUUUGUUCUAAAAUUAAAAAGUUAUUUCAUGGGCCACUUAAUAAAGAAUACUUUUAGUUGAUUGGAUUUUAAUGAGAGAAAAAGGGCAUUAGGAAGUUUGUGCCUAUGGCUGCUAUAGAAAAUAAAUGACUGAUGGAGUAUAUUUCCCCUCUAAUUAGUGCUCCUGAUGGGUGGGUGGCAUAAGUGCAGUGGGAAAUGGAAAAACUUCAGGAGCUCAAUAUUAAUUCAACAUUAGUAUUCAAGCAAGCAUCUGGCAGAGCACUGUAUAAUUGAACCAUCCUCCAGCCCUGCAACAUACUAAGCAAGGUAUGAAAAGGUCUAAAUGACACCUGAGUGUCACUGACACAGCAUUUAUACUAUUUCUGAAGAGUAGAAAUGUAGCAAAUCUCCUUAAGGAUGCCCUCGAAUGGCUGCUCCCCAGCCCUCAGUACUGCCAUGUUUUGGACUCUUUUCUCAGAAAUCCCUCUUGCAGGUCACCAGAACACCAGACAGGACAAUCUGGUUUUGAUUUGCACUGAAGAAGAAAUUGCUGCAUGAUGGUGACCAGGAAAGGACAGGUUAGCUUUUUGGUGCCUUUUGGUACACUCCUUGGUAUCCUCCACGGCUGCCUCCUGCAGAAUGGCACAGCUCUCCAGGGGCACUUGUAAUAUGUGCCAGAUCCCUGUGAGUGUCCCUGGACACCCUGAAGUAUCUCUUCUUUUGUGCUGAAAUUACUAAACAGAAGUUUGCCUUCAAAGAGGUCUGUUUCCCCCUUCUUGUAUAUGAAAUACAAUACAUGACAAUAUAAACAUAAAUGAGCAGAAGGUUGCAGUUUUGCUACAUCUUCCCUUCCUUGUCCUAGAAGAAAUAUUCUGAAAGUCUCUUCUGGUGUUCUUUUAGGUGCUAAAAUAAACAAAUAGUAAUGGAGCACAGGAACUACUGCUGCAGCACUCAUGAGAGAGUAUCACAGCCCAACGUAACCUUUAUCUUCCACUCCUGAGAGGAAAAGAAGAAAUACCCAUGAAAUACUGGUGGUUGCAAAUUGUAGUCCAAGCUUUCAACUUUCCAGACUGUCACCACACCCUUCGUUGGCCUCUGUGUUGCUAUGAAU